rnacentral:sRNA from 1 species
UGUAACUUGUGUAAGUUUUUUUUUGUCCCAUCAAAAACCAUAAUCAAAAUCCAUACAUUUAUGCAACAUGACUUGAACUUAUGAGAACUGCAGAGAAAGGCGCCCUCUCUCUCGUUUACACGCGUGUUCAUGCGAUUUAUAACCUACUCACUUGCCUCUUCAAUUAUGUAUCGCCUUUCCAUGCAGUUCUCAUUAGCUCUGGCCUUUAGUGUUUAUCUUUUAUGCAGUUUUCUAAGGGGUAAUUGGUCUUUAUAUCACUUAAUUGAAUUAAUUUUCUUUCCUAUUUUUUAGAUUUGACGCUGGCACUGGCCUAUCUAUAUUCGCACAUUCACAAGUUAUGGCCGUAAUCAGCAUAAAAUAAAGUCCAUAUAGACUAAUACUUGGAAGGCCUAUCUAAACUCAUUGUGCGUGUGUGUGUGUGUGUGUGUGUGUGGUCAAAAUUACCGUAGCACAUUGCCACUCAAAUGUUAGAUAGCCCGAUUAGAAGCAUAUACUUAGCAGUCGCUCAAUAAGUCCAUGUCAAGACCCAGUGCCAGUAGACGAGACAAGUUGUCAAGGCAAGUUGUGUUGUUUGCGAUCCGGAAUCGCAUCACAAUAUGAAGAAUCCGUUGUGGUUCCUGUUUUGGCUGAUUGUGCUGCUUUUCGUGUCGUUUAUUGUGGCGCUUCUUGGUGCAUUUUUCUACAUUUGGACCUAUUUGUUAGCCCAAUGCAGCAGCUGUUUUCGGAGUGUUGCCGAGUUCUUUUUGAAGUGCCUGCAGUUUCCAGGCUAUUGUGCGGCCGCCAUGUUGAAUUGCCAAUCGUUGUGUUAGGCAAAUUAAUCGACUCUCGCUGACAUCGAUAAAUCACAGCACAAACAAUCGAAGUGUGUUCGCACUAGAGAUGGUAUUUUUCUUACACGUUUGGGCACACUUAACGCCCACAACAAGUGCAAGGCAAUCAGCUUGCUGUCAGAAAGAUUAGCCCUUUAGAUAAGUAAAAAUUGGCUUUACCAUUUUAUAGGCUACACACACAAUACACUUACAAAAACUUUGUGUACAUGUGCGUGUGCGUAUGUGUGUGUGUGUGUGUAUGCAUAUGUGUCAUCUCAGUAUGCAUUUACGUAGUAUAGUUGAUAAAUCGUACUAUUUUAAUAUCAUGUUAAUUUGUUAUGUAUCAUAUAAUAAAAUGUUGUUCUAAACUCAAGACUGUGUCCCAAGUUCGGGGAUCGAAGCUCUGUAAGGCCGGAAUUACCCUAAGAGGGAAAUUGUCAAGUGAAAUGCUCUAGUUUUCUAGGAUAUCUUCUAGUCAGCACGUAGAAAUUGAAACUAUGCAGGGCAGAUAUGACAGAGUGCCCAGCUAGUUCCCAUGACAUCAUAACUUUAUCAAUUUUUGCACACUCUCGUCUAAUUGAAUCUUGAAUCUUUAUUGGCUUCAACUACAUUUAAACGUUGGGUUUAAUUUGUAGCGUCAUAAAAUCAAUGUUAUCAAGCGAAAAUGAUUUCUCAAGCAGUGCAUCGCGCUACAAUUUAUAUAUACAUGU